rnacentral:rRNA from 1 species
CCUACGGGUGGCUGCAGUGGGGAAUAUUGGACAAUGGGCGAAAGCCUGAUCCAGCCAUGCCGCGUGUGUGAAGAAGGCCUUCGGGUUGUAAAGCACUUUCAGUGGGGAAGAAAGCCUUGGGGCUAAUACCCUCGAGGAAGGACAUCACCCACAGAAGAAGCACCGGCUAACUCCGUGCCAGCAGCCGCGGUAAUACGGAGGGUGCGAGCGUUAAUCGGAAUUACUGGGCGUAAAGCGCGCGUAGGCGGUCUGAUAAGCCGGUUGUGAAAGCCCCGGGCUCAACCUGGGAACGGCAUCCGGAACUGUCAGGCUAGAGUGCAGGAGAGGAAGGUAGAAUUCCAGGUGUAGCGGUGAAAUGCGUAGAGAUCGGGAGGAAUACCAGUGGCGAAGGCGGCCUUCUGGACUGACACUGACGCUGAGGUGCGAAAGCGUGGGUAGCAAACAGGAUUAGAUACCCGAGUAGUC